UGAGCAACCUGCCCCUGGCUCUGGGAUAACCCCGGGGAAACCGGAGCUAAUACCGGAUACGAGACCGAUUGGCAUCUUUACGGUCUGGAAAGUUUUUCGGCCAGGGAUGGGCUCGCGGCCUAUCAGCUUGUUGGUGGGGUAAUGGCCCACCAAGGCGACGACGGGUAGCCGGCCUGAGAGGGCGACCGGCCACACUGGGACUGAGACACGGCCCAGACUCCUACGGUAGGCA
rnacentral:rRNA from 1 species